rnacentral:tRNA from 1 species
GCUUGUAGCUCAGUUGGGAGAGCGUUGCAUUCGCAUUGCAGAGGUCGAGGGUUCGACUCCCUUCAAGUCC